UACGGCGGUCAUAGCGUGGGGGAAACGCCCGGUCCCAUUCCGAACCCGGAAG
rnacentral:rRNA from 1 species